rnacentral:rRNA from 1 species
UGGGGAAUAUUGCACAAUGGGCGAAAGCCUGAUGCAGCAACGCCGCGUGAAGGAUGAAGGCCUUUGGGUCGUAAACUUCUGUCCUUGGGGAAGAAAAAAAUGACGGUACCCCUGGAGGAAGUCCCGGCUAACUACGUGCCAGUAGCCGCGGUAAUACGUAGGGGGAGAGCGUUAUCCGGAAUUAUUGGGCGUAAAGAGUACGUAGGUGGUUUUUUAGGCGCAGGGUUUAAGGUGAUGGCUCAACUGUCGUUCGCCCUGGGAACUGGAAGACUUGAGUACAGGAGAGGAAAGCGGAAUUCCUAGUGUAGCGGUGAAAUGCAUAGAUAUUAGGAGGAACACCAGUGGCGAAGGCGGCUUUCUGGACUGUAACUGACACUGAGGUACGAAAGCGUGGGGAGCAAACA